rnacentral:rRNA from 1 species
UACAUGGGGUGCAAACGUUGCUCGGAAUUAUUGGGCGUAAAGCGCACGUAGGCGGUUUGUUAAGUCGGAUGUGAAAUCCCUCGGCUCAACUGAGGAAGUGCAUCCGAAACUGGCAGGCUUGAGUACUAAAGAGGGUCGCGGAAUUCCCGGUGUAGAGGUGAAAUUCGUAGAUAUCGGAAGGAACACCGGUGGCGAAGGCGGCGACCUGGGUAGAUACUGACGCUGAGGUGCGAAAGCGUGGGGAGCAAACAGG